UUGGAAUUUUCUUACAUGUUUAAUAUGUAGUUGCAUAUAUUUAUUAAAGGUUACUAUUUCAUUCAUUCAUGUAAAUUAUACAGGUUAUUCAAACAAGGCAUAUCAUGGGCAUCUUGGUGCCUUAAAUUCUUCAACUUUGUAGGUUUCACCAUUGAGUUCUCAGGUUCAUUUACUCCAUGAUUACUAGCCUUGGAAAUUUUGGCAAUUAUAGUUUAGUGUAAACUGUUGUAUAACAGCCUAUGCGUAAGUAUGGCUUUCAAAUGCUAUUUACCAUGAUGCUUAGUCCCUUCACUUUUCAUUUGUUUCAGCCUUUUGUAAUAAUCAUGUUUUGUUGUUUAUCAUUUCCAGGUUAUAGAAUUUGGUUUUAGUUUGAUAUAAAUAUUGACCAAAUAUAAAGUAUAAUUGUUGAAAUGUGUUGUCAUUUGAGGUGUAUCUUCCACAUCAAUGUAUAUGCGUAAUCUUGAAAAGCUUGUUUCAAGUAAUUUGGACGAGAGCUAUAUAUGUGUAUGCAUGUAUAGAGAUGUUGAAGAAAUUGACAAGAGCAUAGCAUAAGGGAAAUGAAGAGGAACAAAGAUACAUAUAAAAGAUCCAAAGAGUUUUUUUUGUUUAAAUUUGAAGAGCUUUUCUUGAUAAUAUAUGCAUUGUGUUAGGUUCUUUUACAAUGAAUACAUUGAAUGACUUGUUUUGUAUAUUUUU
rnacentral:lncRNA from 1 species